CAUCUAAACAAUAUUGUUGCAUCCUACCUUUGCAUAAUACCGGGUAGGGUUUUUGAUGCACCUGAUGGCUGCACGUAGUGCACUCAGGUACUCAUUUGUAGGGUGAUUGAGGAGAUCCUGGUCAUCAAAUGUUUCAUUAAGGACAGCAAAAAGAACAUUGUCAUGAAGAAAAACUGUGAUCGAUGUGCCAUAUAUAUCCUUGUAGCGGUUGAAGAUUGCGCUAAGCUGCAUGCUGCUCCUUGUACUUAACACCCUGAUCGUUUCUUCGUGAUCAACAGCCUUACCAAGGAUUUCAUCAUGAAGAAUCGCAGCCUCUGAUUGCGCCAGCAUCUCAUCAAUUUCUUCUCCAUCAUAUUUAUAAGCAGACACCAUUGCAACCAAGAGCUGUAUAUAUCAAGAAACGCCCAAGCGUUGAAGAUCAGUCAAAACUAGAAGAAACUAUCUGGAAAUUUAAAAUUACUUACUCUCCUGAUGUCGCCAAUAGUACGGGAGGCCAAGUCUUCCUCAAGAGAAUGCUUGUAGAGGCAACGGUAAGCACGUCUAGCAGCUAACAUAUCUUCAGGGGAUCUCAUGCAGGCAAUUUCGACAAGAACCUUGUAGUCAGGAAUAGGCUUUUGAAGAGCCAAGUUAGCCAAGAGAGCAUCUCUCUCUGGAGGAUCCAAGACCCACAAGCAAAUAGCUCUCUGCAGAGAGCUCAGAUUUGAGCUGGUGAAUGAGAUCCUCAUGGUAAAUCUCCUGGUAAGCUUGUCUUAUGAGCUUCCUCUGGAACAAAUUCCGGUGUCCUAAGAUCGAGAUGAUGGCAUUUUCAUUGGUUCCCCAUCCUAAAACGCCAAAUAGAAAUAAAGAAGAGGAGUAAAGGAGAUAGCAAGAAACUUGAUGAACCACAUAAGUUUUGAAACACUAAUCCAAAGAAAAGUAGAACCUUGACAAGCCGCCUUGAUGUUUUCAGCGUCUUCGACAGGGGAGAAAUGUGGAGGAGAAACAAUGGUGGCCAUUUUGUUUUUUCUGUUUCUGCGUAAGAUAUCUUUGACUCAGAUUAAUCACUUGUUGGAUAUUGCUUCCAUUGCUUUGAGCACUCUUAAUUUAUAAGAGUUGGUAAUGAUGUUACAAUGCUUUGAAGAGACCAGAAAAUGUUUCAAACGGCUCAUUGAUUGUUUUUGCUCUAUGUUAAUCUGAAACUCUCUCUGUUAACGCCACCCCUUUAUGUAUAUGACUUUGCCGUUAUUUUUUCAGGAAUUAAGUUUUCAUAA